UUUUUUUCAAUAAAAACAACUGUCCUUUCUCCAUUAUAAUGAUAUUACAGGUACAUGUAUUAUUUAUGUACAUUUUGAACUUAAAUUUAGCAUAAAAAUUGACUUUUUUGUGGAAUUUAAAGGAGUAGGCCCAGUAAGACCCCAUUUUGGCCCCAAAAUAUAGCAGUUUCACAAAAUUGUUAAAACGUAAACUUAUAGCUAUUUAUUGGAAAGUAGAAUACUUCUGUAACAUCUUUAUGGGCUGUUUUUGACAAUACAAUGUACAUGUAUCAGGUACUAGCAUCAUUAAGUCAUGGUAAAUUACUGAAAUCUUGGAAAUUUUAGCAUUUUGGUUAAUUUUUAGACAGUUUCCAUUUGAGAUGGAAAUUGUCGCAAUUAACUGUUUAAAAAGAUUCAUAAAUCUUUCAUCAGAUGAACUUGAACUUUGAGGCCAAAAUCUGCUCUUACCCAACCUACUCCUUUGUUGGCCAAUCAUUGACAUGCUUUAAAAACUUAUUAAAGGUGAUAGGUUGAGAAAGGAAAUUUAGAAUAUUUAAGAUUUUUAGUAUACAAUUAAUUAUCAUGGAUGUUGCUUAUUUAAUAAAAAAAUUGUUAAAUUUGAAAACACCAACAGUUCAUUUUGUAUGGUAGUUGUUAAAGCUUUAUUUAGGUAUCAUGAGAUUAGGUCAUUUUAACAUUACUGCACAUGUGAUUUGGCUUAAAAAAUUAUUUGAGAUACUAGUAUUUGAACUUUUGAGUUCAAGUUGAUUCAUUAAAAAUUUUUAAAUGGAACCAGAUGCUCCACAGGGGGCAGCUUUAUACGACCGCAGGUCAAACCCUGAACAGUUGGGGCAAGUAUGGACACAACAUUUAAGCUUGAUACAGCUCUGAAUUUGAAUUGUGAUUAAAUAGUUGACACAACAUAGGUUUCUGACACAGAAUGAAUGUGGUCUAACAACUUAAACUUAAAAACUUAAAAAUUUUAAAUUGGACAUUUACCUAUUAUGGUCCAAUAUCCAAAAUCUAAAUACAUGGUUAGAUUCAGCAUAUUAUAGAUUAGAACCCCAAGAAUUCAAUUUUUGAUUAAAUCAAAUAAUGUUUAAUUUCUGACCCUUUGGACCUUAAUGUAGACCAAUUUGAAAAAGGGACAAUACUGGGCAAUUGAAUAUUUCUUGCUAUUGCGCAAAACUGUGCAAUUGAAAAUUUCUUGCUAUUGUGCAAUAUUGUGCACUAAGAUAUUUCUUGCUAUUGCACAAUACUGUGCAAUUGAAGAUUUCUUGCUAUUGCACAAUACUGUGCAAUGGAAAAUUUCUUGCUAUUGUACAAUACUGUGCAAUUGAAGAUUUCUUGCUAUUGCUGAAUACUGUGCAAUUGAAAAUUUUGCUAUUGCACAAUACUUAAUAUAAUAAUUUGGACCCUGAUUUGGACCAACUUGAAAACUGGGCCCAUAAUCAAAAAUCUAAGUACAUGUUUAGAUUCAGCAUAUCAAAGAACCCCAAGAAUUCAAUUUUUGUUAAAAUCAAGCUAAGUUUAAUUUUGGACCCUUUGGACCUUAAUGUAGACCAAUUUGAAACAGGACCAAAAAUUAAGAAUCUGAAUACACAAUUAGAUUUGGCAUAUCAAAGAACCCCAAUAAUUAAUUUUUUGAAAGUUUAAUUUUGGACCCUUUUGGCCCCUAAUUCAUUCAGAUCAAAACUCCCAAAAUCAAUCCAAACCUUCCUUUUGUGGUCAUAAACCUUGUGUUAAAAUUUCAUAGAUUUCUAUUAACUGAUACUAAAGUUAUUGUGCUAAAACCAAGAAAAAUGCUUAUUUGGCACCUGUUUUUGGCCCCUUAUUCCUAAAUUAUUGGGACUUAAACUAAAGUUAUUAUGCAAAAAUGUUAAAAUUUCAUAGAUUUAUAUUUACUGAUACUAAAGUUAUUGUGCAAAAACCAAGAAAAAUGCUUAUUUGGGCCCUUUUUUUUUCAAUUUUUGCAGUCCUAUAAAAU
rnacentral:lncRNA from 1 species